rnacentral:misc_RNA from 1 species
GGCCCAAUCAUCAGCAUUCCAAAGGCUUGAGUAAAUCCUCAUGGGCUGAUUCUUUGGAAAUGGUACACCAACUGAUUCAGCAUUUUUGUAUACUCUUAUUGGUGUGUUGUCCACCAAAAAUAUGAUGUGUUGGGGUUUCCAAAUGAUGGAGUAGGUGUGGAAGUUCUUUGUAGGGUCAAACCAAAGGUAAAAUUGUUGCUCUUUGUUACCCUUGCCUUGGGCAUAAAUAUUUGUGUGUAGAAUAUAAGGUUCACCAGUAACAUUUCCCAAGAACUCAAAGUCAAUUUCAUCAUGAGUGGGUCCUUGAGAAGAUAAGUAAUAUGUUGUGACAGUGCCAGCAGAGUUUCCAGCAACGAGUUUGAUUUGCAUAUCAAUUCUUCCAAAGAGAUGUUCUUUUUUUGAUUGAAAACCAGAGCCAAGAUUUUCAAUGGAGGUCAACUUUUAUCUUUAUCUUU